UUGGAGGGCAAGUCUGGUGCCAGCAGCCGCGGUAAUUCCAGCUCCAAUAGCGUAUAUUAAAGUUGUUGCAGUUAAAAAGCUCGUAGUUGAAUUUCGGGGUUAGUAGGUUGGUCAUGCCUCUGGUAUGUACUGGUCUCACUGAUUCCUCCUUCCUGAUGAGCCGUAAUGCCAUUAAUUUGGUGUUGCGGGGAAUUUGGACUGUUACUUUGGAAAAAUUAGAGUGUUUAAAGCAAGCUAACGCUUGAAUACAUUAGCAUGGAAUAAUGAAAUAGGACGUUCGAUCCUAUUUUGUUGGUUUCUAGGAUUGACGUAAUGAUUAAUAGGGAUAGUUGGGGGCAUUAGUAUUCAAUUGUCAGAGGUGAAAUUCUUGGAUUUAUUGAAGACUAACUACUGCGAAAGCAUUUGCCAAGGAUGUUUUCAUUAAUCGAGAACGAAAGUUAGGGGAUCGAAGACGAUCAGAUACCGUCGUAGUCUUAACCAUAAACUAUGCCGACUAGGGAUCGGAUGAUGUUAAUUUUUUAAUGACUCAUUCGGCGCCUUACGGGAAAC
rnacentral:rRNA from 1 species